GACGGAGGAGGCUAGCGUUGUCCGGAUUGACUGGGCGUAAAGAGCAUGUAGGUGGAAUCUUAAGUCGGCGGUGAAAGCCUUCCGCUUAACGGAAGAAUUGCCGCCGAAACUAAGGUUCUUGAGGGCAGGAGAGGAGAGUGGAAUUGCUGGUGUAGCGGUGAAAUGCGUAGAGAUCAGCAAGAACACCCGUGGCGAAGGCGGCUCUCUGGACUGCUCCUGACACUGAGAUGCGAAAGCCAGGGGAGCGAACGGG
rnacentral:rRNA from 1 species